UACGGAGGAUCCGAGCGUUAUCCGGAUUUAUUGGGUUUAAAGGGUGCGCAGGCGGGGGAUUAAGUCGGCGGUGAAAUUUUGCAGCUCAACUGUAAAAGUGCCUUCGAAACUGGUUUCCUUGAGUGUAGAUGAAGUAGGCGGAAUUUGUGGUGUAGCGGUGAAAUGCAUAGAUAUCACGAGGAACUCCGAUUGCGCAGGCAGCUUACUAAACUACUGCUGACGCUCAGGCACGAAGGCGUGGGGAUCAAACAGGAUUAGAUACCCCGGUAGUCCCU
rnacentral:rRNA from 1 species